UCUCGAAGGACGGAAUCAAACCGCCGACAUUUGGAUUAUCAAGUGUUUAAAGCAAUUGCAGUCCAACGCCAUAGCCAACUAGACGACUUCGAG